ensembl:lncRNA
GUAAGUUGCAGACACUUUGUUCUGAUAGGUUUAAAUUGCUGCCCUUCAAAGAGCAGGGUAGGGUUUUUACAGCAGCGGUGGGUUAUGGGAGUCUGAGGCCACAGACACGCUCUGCAGUGGUCGUUUCUGAGGGUGUGGGUUUGGUGGGUCCGCCCGGGCCGCUUCUUCCGUCGGUCUGCGGCGAGUCAGUCUGAAACAGUUCGCGUCUAUCCGGCGGCAUUGAGUCUUGGUCCUUCGCCGGAGUGUCAGGCUCAGGGGUCCCAGCCAGUGAGGGUGACAGUUUGGAUUGGCCUCGGGAGCGCAGCCUGGCCCGUCCCUGAAUCCCAGUAUUGGGUUCUGGGUGUCCCAAAAUCCCGCGUGAUGGUGAAGGCGCUGGGGCUCGGGAACCCAAGGAAGGCUUUUCUCUGCUCUCCCACGUCCAUUUCAGCAAAGUUUGUCAGGGUUCGACAGGGACCCUUCUGCAAGUUCCCAUCCGUCUCCUGGCUUUGGGAAGGAAAAGGGCGGGUUGGCUUCCUGAGCAGUCUUUCCCUGCAUCAGGGUCUUUGCCAACAAGUCAGCUGUUCACAUCAGGUGGCCAAAGUAUUGGAGCUUCAGCUUCACCAUCAGUCCUUCCAGAUUGACUGGUUGGAUCUCCUUGCAGUCCAAGGGACUUUGAAGAGUCUUCUCCAGCACCACAGUUCGAAAGCAUCACUUUUUCGGCACUCAGCCUUCUUUAUGGUGCAGUCCUAUUUGUGACGGCAAAGGGAACAGCACCCGACCCCACGUAUACCCGUGGAGGAUACCGGGAACCACGGUGUUGUCUCCUUAGGAUGGAGUAUUAGUAG